UACGUAGGGGGCUAGCGUUGUCCGGAAUCAUUGGGCGUAAAGCGCGUGUAGGCGGCCCGGUAAGUCCGCUGUGAAAGUCGGGGGCUCAACCCUCGGAUGCCGGUGGAUACUGUCGGGCUAGAGUACGGAAGAGGCGAGUGGAAUUCCCGGUGUAGAGGUGAAAUUCGUAGAUAUCGGGAGGAACACCGGUGGCGAAGGCGGCGACCUGGGUAGAUACUGACGCUGAGGUGCGAAAGCGUGGGGAGCAAACAGG
rnacentral:rRNA from 1 species